CGAGCGCAUGAGUAGUGUUGGACCUGUGACUACCGGGAGGACCCCCGCUGUUGUGCGGCCGACUGCCGGUGCCAGUGUCCCUUCAGUUGUUGGCUGUCCUGUGCCAAUGAUUUUGACCGGUGCUUGCGUGCUGCUACCAGAAAUGCUGGAAGUUGCAUUGCUAAAUGUUGGUUUUGCCGUGCAUGCCCAUAGGGCAUUUCACGACAACUAUAAAGUGAUCAUGGCGUUGCCUCGUGUAGCUGCCCAUAUGGGCUAGCCGCGCCAAGGCCACCUCAUGGUCGCUAUUGGUCUCGGAUGUGGCUGACUCUAAAGGCUGAAGGUGCUUGGGCACAUCAUGCCUACAAAAUAUUGUCCGGUUGGAAACAACGACAGUUGGCCUGGCUGAUGCCUUGUGCUAACGCUAGUGCU
rnacentral:misc_RNA from 1 species